CACCCUGAUCGUAUCUAGGUUCUAACCUGGUACCGUAAUCCGGUGCGGGGACAGUGUCAGGUGGGCAGUUUGACUGGGGCGGUCGCCUCCUAAAGAGUAACGGAGGCGCCCAAAGGUUCCCUCAGAAUGGUUGGAAAUCAUUCGAAGAGUGCAAAGGCAUAAGGGAGCUUGACUGCGAGACCUACAAGUCGAGCAGGGACGAAAGUCGGGCUUAGUGAUCCGGUGGUACCGCAUGGAAGGGCCAUCGCUCAACGGAUAAAAGCUACCCUGGGGAUAACAGGCUUAUCUCCCCCAAGAGUCCACAUCGACGGGGAGGUUUGGCACCUCGAUGUCGGCUCAUCGCAUCCUGGGGCUGAAGUAGGUCCCAAGGGUUGGGCUGUUCGCCCAUUAAAGCGGUACGCGAGCUGGGUUCAGAACGUCGUGAGACAGUUCGGUCCCUAUCUGUCGUGGGCGUAGGAAAUUUGAGAGGAGCUGUCCUUAGUACGAGAGGACCGGGAUGGACGUACCGCUGGUGUACCAGUUGUUCCGCCAGGAGCACCGCUGGGUAGCUAUGUACGGAAGGGAUAAGCGCUGAAAGCAUCUAAGCGUGAAGCCCCCCUCAAGAUGAGAUUUCCCAGUAUGUAAGACCCCUUGAAGACGACGAGGUAGAU
rnacentral:rRNA from 1 species